GGGGGUGUUCCGGAUUCGAUUGGGGUGGUUCCGUGUGACUCGUUGCAGGUGGAGCGCCAUCUCCUGAUUGGCACCUUUUUAUCUGCCGAAGAAGCAGACUUUCUCCCUGUAGCUGCUUAAACAGCAAGGGACGGGCGCGGGUUGCGCCGCUCUGAGCGGCUCGUGGCUUGUCAAAGAUCAGGGCUCGCUGCCGGUAGCUUCCGACCUGCCGGUGGGACUUAUAGUCGGAACAGGGCGGCGUCCGGUUGGUCCACGCACCAAAAACGUCCGCCGACAAAAUAAAGCGUAGACUAAACCUGUAGACGCGUUUCGCCGGCACCUCAAGACAGGGGUUCAACUCCCCUCACCUCCAGAA
rnacentral:tmRNA from 1 species